rnacentral:sRNA from 1 species
UGGUACUGAUUAUUGGUAGGCCUGAUG